CUGGAACUCACUUCGUGGACCAGGCUGGCCUCCAACAAACAGACAUCUGACUGCCUCUGCUUCCCGAGUGCUGGGAUUAAAGGCGUGUGCCACCACUGACUGGCUAUCCCCAUCUCUGCCAAUCCUGAUGCUUUGAAAAACCAUGUACUUGUAGUAAUAGACCUCUGGGGAUCUAGAAGAGUACCAAAUAGAAUUUCCAAAUGCCAGUACUAACUUAAUAAGAUAACAAUGGGGAGAAGAAGAUAAGGAAAAACCACACAGUCAGAGCAGCCAAGUGUUUUCUUAAACCAAUUCUUCUUUCAAGAUAUAUUUUCAACAAUGAGGUCUAAGCCUUUGACUAUUUUUCUGUUUGGUGGAGGACUAAAAAUAGAGACAUUAAAGGAGGCUUUCCCUGAAGUGUGAGAGACACAUCCACAUCACUUAUUUAUUCAUCUAUUGAGGACAAAGCACAUAUGAAAUAGUCAAUAAAUAUUUAUGAAAUGAUUGUGCUUUAAGACCAACGAGGGAGUUGGAAACAUGAAACAUUAUAGUCCCAAACACGCACCAACGGCUGCAGAGGUGAAGGAGAGAUUACUUUCGCUUGUGCAUGGUA
rnacentral:lncRNA from 1 species